rnacentral:rRNA from 1 species
AAUAUUGCGCAAUGGAGGGAACUCUGACGCAGCGACGUCGCGUGAGCGAUGAAGGUCUUCGGAUCGUAAAGCUCUGUCCUUGGGGAAGAAGGGAGCCGUAAGGCUUCUUGACGGUACCCAUGGAGGAAGCCCCGGCUAACUACGUGCCAGCAGCCGCGGUAAUACGUAGGGGGCGAGCGUUGUCCGGAAUUACUGGGCGUAAAGGGCGUGUAGGCGGCUAAAUAAGUCAGGUGUGAAAACUGUGGGCUCAACCCAGAGAUUGCACCAGAAACUGUCUAGCUUGAGGGUAGGAGAGGAAAGUGGAAUUCCUAGUGUAGCGGUGAAAUGCGUAGAUAUUAGGAGGAACACCAGUGGCGAAGGCGACUUUCUGGCCUAACCCUGACGCUGAGGCGCGAAAGCGUGGGGAGCAAAC